UGGGGCCUCGGGAGCUACAGUGGAUCUGAAUAUCUGAUGAAUACCUGAAUCUUAGAUGUAUUCCGAUUUCAUCUGAACACUCACAGGCAGAUUGCUGCAGCAGCUCCCUCUCUGGUGAGUCCCUGCUGCUCUACACCGGCCUGUGCUGCUGGGCAUCUCACACAUCCCUGGAGGUGACACUGAGGACACUCGGACCCGUCCUCUCCGUUAUCCAACAGGCAUUCCAGACUCAAGUAUCUGCCCCGCUUAAGGCAGCCGAUUCCUUCGAAUUCUUCAAACAGGGCCGCGUCAAUAUCUGAAGAGCUGCAGACAAAGCCCGGGACGUGUGUGAUAUUGUUUGCUGACGUGGACACCUCCCCAAGAUAAUCUCCUCGAGUUUGCCCACACGGCACUGUUAAAUCAACAAGAUGUCAGACUGUUCACACCGUGUGGAAUCAAACGUUCCCAGCAUGGGCUCUGCAGUAACCAGGCGGGAUUCUGACAUCAGGCUUGCCCCUCCCAAAGAAGGCGGUUGUGGUAUUCAUCUCUAGGCCUCAGUUUCUCUCUUGGCCUCAUGGACAUAUCAUAGAUGCUUCAAAAGAUACCACUAGACUCUGAAGACUCUGUCAUGGGACUUCAUUCCUACUCGUACCUCUCUGUGAGCUUGCAGCCUUGAGGAGUCAAGGGUUUAUAAUGGAGUCCAGGCUGGCCUUGGUUUCAUCCUCCUCCUGCUUCAACCUCUCGAGGGCUGACAUUCCAUGCACAUCACUAUACCCCGUAGUUGAUGGGCUCCUAGUCAGGAAACGAAAAGGCAGUUGGAAGUGAACAGUUGGAGGUGGCAUGCCAGCGACUUUUGCAUGGCUGUGAACUUCAAGCAGGGAAGGGUUAUAUUGGCUCAUGGUUCAGAGGGUUUAUGUAGCCCAUGAUUGGUUGACCCUAUUUUCUGGGGGCACUGUUCACUUCCUGGUCAACAGGAAACGGAGUAUGAGACAG